UGGGUUGGAAACCUUCCGAAUCCCGCAGAGAUGUGGGAGUGCCCUUCGGGGAAUGGGAUGUUCAGGUGCUGCAUGGCUGUCGUCAGCUCGUGUCGUGAGAUGUUGGGUUAAGUCCCGCAACGAGCGCAACCCUUGUCUUUAGUUGCCAUCAGUUAGGCUGGGCACUCUAGAGAGACUGCCGGUGUUAAACCGGAGGAAGGUGGGGAUGACGUCAAGUCCUCAUGGCCCCUAUGUCCAGGGCUACACACGUGCUACAAUGGCGGCCACAAAGGGCAGCGACAUCGCGAGAUGAAGCCAAUCCCAAAAAAGCCGCCUCAGUUCGGAUUGGAGUCUGCAACUCGACUCCAUGAAGCCGGAAUCGCUA
rnacentral:rRNA from 1 species